CACAGACAUAAAUAACCCAUUCAAAAUAAAACACGCGGAUCCCCUUUAAUGGGUCGGGUAGAAAUCCGGGUUGUGAUGAAACGACGUCGUUUUGGCACUGGGACUUAAGUCCAAAACGACGUCGUUUUGGAUCCUAUAUAAAUGCCCCAAAAUUUCUUUUUCCCUCAUUUCAGCCCACCUUUCUUAAAAAAAAAAAAUUUCGCAAGAAAAGUUCUCCCUUUUCCCGAUUUCCGGCCUUGCUCCGAUCGGCCACCGCCGUGCCGGCACUCACCGGGGACCACCGUCGGCCACCGGCCAAAGGUGCAAGUUGGUAGUGGUUGGAAGCAGUAGAGGGUUGACGUCGGUGGUGGAUGGGACAGCGACAGUGCAAGUGGAGGCAGCAGCUGAUUAGGCUAGGGUUUUCAGUUCCUUUUUUUGUUUUGUGUUUGGGUUGGGCUGCUGUUGGGUUUUGGGCUUCUGUUAGUUGGGCCCGGAUUUGGUCCAUUACAAACUCAAUUGACAAAAUCAAACCAUUUUAUAUAUACUGAAGUAUAUGAUUAUAAUGAGAAAA